rnacentral:rRNA from 1 species
GAGUUUGAUCCUGGCUCAGGAUGAGCGCUGGUGGCAUGCCUAAGACAUGCAAGUCGAACGAAGUGAUCCUAUUGAAGAGUUAGUGCUUGCACUAAAUUGGAUUUAGGAAUCACUUAGUGGCAGACGGGUGAGUAACACGUGGGUAACCUACCUCAAAGACUGGGAUAACAGUUAGAAAUGAUUGCUAAUACCGGAUAAUUCAUAUUUAGAUAACUAGAUAUGCUAAAAGAAGCGAUUGCUUCACUUUGAGAUGGGCUUGCGUCGUAUUAGCUAGUUGGUGAGGUAAUGGCCCACCAAGGCUACGAUACGUAUCCGAGCUGAGAGGCUGAUCGGACACACUGGGACUGAGACACGGCCCAGACUCCUACGGGAGACAGCAGUUAGGAAUAUUCGUCAAUGGGGGAAACCCUGAACGAGCAAUGCCGCGUGAGUGAUGAAGGUUUUAUGAAUCGUAAAACUCUGUUAUGAGGGAAGAACCCUUGGUAUAGGAAGUGAUACCAAGCUGACGGUACCUCAUCAGAAAGCCCCGGCUAACUACGUGCCAGCAGCCGCGGUAAUACGUAGGGGGCGAGCGUUAUCCGGAUUUAUUGGGUGUAAAGGGUGUGUAGGCGGUUUAUUAAGUUUAAGAUUAAAGCCUGAGGCCCAACCUCAGUUCGUCUUAAAAACUGGUAGACUUGAGUAUGGUAGAGGCAAGUGGAAUUUCUAGUGUAGCGGUUA